GUAGACGGCGAUGCAAGUCUGAUGUGAAAGCCUUCGGCUGAACCGGAGUAGUGCAUUGGAAACUGGGAGACUUGAGUGCAGAAGAGGAGAGUGGAACUCCAUGUGUAGCGGUGAAAUGCGUAGAUAUAUGGAAGAACACCAGUGGCGAAAGCGGCUCUCUGGUCUGUAACUGACGCUGAGGUUCGAAAGCGUGGGUAGCAAACAG
rnacentral:rRNA from 1 species